CUUCCAACUUCACUGAUUUGCCUCUAUAUUGAUCAAUGUCAGCUUCGGCUGACUAUGGCGAUAAACGUAGCGUGAAAUAAGCAGGGCGGACCCGGGGGCGGUACCCGGCGCCUCCACCAUUUUUUCAAGAUAGGCUAGCCAGACGGACUUAUACCGUCAGAGCUGGCCCGUGGCAGAAAAAAUAUGCGGGGGCGAAAUAGGAUCGACGCAUGUGGUAAAGGCUCUAUUUUCGUUCGGUAUGGUACCCGCCGUUAUCGGGCCAUUGUAGUAGUUGCAAAUGACAACACUGCUCCGGUUGCUAUCGCUGCUUAAUGCAGCAGGCGUAGCCGACUUAAAGUCCUAGCCGCUUGAGCUCGGUUAGGCGGGGUUUGGGGGCGCACCUGGCAACAGAAGCG
rnacentral:tmRNA from 1 species